AGCAGCAAAGGGAGAGGAAAACGAAAUAUAAAGUUACUCAAACCCAACAUCCACCAUGGAAAUGCAAAGACAAGCUCCAAAACUCAAGCUUCAAGCAUCAAGAACAAGCAAAUGGAAGUAGAAAUAAAUGAUUUUUCACCAUCAAUGAGCUAAGAUAACCAAGAGUGAGUUAAGAGACAAAGAAAAUCUGCAUCUUGUUCAUUUAAAUGGCUCCAAAC
rnacentral:lncRNA from 1 species